rnacentral:rRNA from 1 species
GGGGAAUAUUGCACAAUGGGCGCAAGCCUGAUGCAGCCAUGCCGCGUGUAUGAAGAAGGCCUUCGGGUUGUAAAGUACUUUCAGCGGGGAGGAAGGCGAUGGGGUUAAUAACCUUAUCGAUUGACGUUACCCGCAGAAGAAGCACCGGCUAACUCCGUGCCAGCAGCCGCGGUAAUACGGAGGGUGCAAGCGUUAAUCGGAAUUACUGGGCGUAAAGCGCACGCAGGCGGUCUGUUAAGUCAGAUGUGAAAUCCCCGGGCUUAACCUGGGAACUGCAUUUGAAACUGGCAGGCUUGAGUCUUGUAGAGGGGGGUAGAAUUCCAGGUGUGGCGGUGAAAUGCGUAGAGAUCUGGAGGAAUACCGGUGGCGAAGGCGGCCCCCUGGACAAAGACUGACGCUCAGGUGCGAAAGCGUGGGGAGCAAAC